rnacentral:rRNA from 1 species
UACAGGGGGGGCAAGCGUUGUUCGGAAUUACUGGGCGUAAAGGGCCCGUAGGCGGCCAACUAAGUCCGACGUGAAAUCCCCAGGCUUAACCUGGGAACUGCGUCGGAUACUGGAUGGCUUGAAUCCGGGAGAGGGAUGCGGAAUUCCAGGUGUAGCGGUGAAAUGCGUAGAUAUCUGGAGGAACACCGGUGGCGAAGGCGGCAUCCUGGACCGGCAUUGACGCUGAAUAGCGAAAGCCAGGGGAGCAAACGGG